rnacentral:rRNA from 1 species
GUCCUCUUGAAUUUAAUUUGAGGUCUAGCCUGCCCACUGAAAUUAUUUAAAUGGCCGCAGUAAUUUGACUGUGCAAAGGUAGCAUAAUCAUUAGUUUUUUAAUUAAAAGCUUGUAUGAAUGGUUGGACAAAGUAAAAUCUGUCUCUAUUUAAUUAUAAUAGAAUUUAAUUUUUAAGUUAAAAAGCUUAAAUUUAUAUAAAAGACGAGAAGACCCUAUAGAUCUUUAUUUAAUUUUAUAUAAUUUUAAUUUAGAAUUUUUUAUUAAUUAUAUAAAUUUAAAUUUUAUUGGGGUAAUAAAAAGAUUAAAAAAAUUCUUUUAUUAUUUUACAUUGAUUUAUGGUUAUAUGAUCCAAUAAUUUUGAUUAAAAGAUUAAGUUACCUUAGGGAUAACAGCGUAAUUUUUUUAGAGAGUUCAUAUCGAUAAAAAAGUUUGCGA